rnacentral:rRNA from 1 species
AGAGUUUGAUUAUGGCUCAGGAUGAACGCUAGCUACAGGCUUAACACAUGCAAGUCGAGCGGAACACCUUCGGGUGUUCAGCGGCAGACGGGUGAGUAACACGUAUCCAACCUUCCCUACUCGGGCAUAGCCGUCUGGAAACGGAGAGUAAUUCCCGAUGAAGUGUACGAGGAGCAUUUUUUGCACACCAAAGAUUCGAUCGGUAAGGGGUGGGGAUGCGUUCCGAUUAGGUAGUAGGCGGGGCAACGGCCCACCUAGCCGAUGAUGGAUAGGGGUUCUGAGAGGAAGGUCCCCCACAUUGGAACUGCGACACGGUCCAAACUCCUACGGGAGGCAGCAGUGAGGAAUAUUGGUCAAUGGGCGAGAGCCUGAACCAGCCAAGUAGCGUGCAGGAUGAACCGGCCCUACGGGUUGUAAACUGCUUUUGUGCGGGAAUAACGGUCAUUACGUGUGAUGAUGUGCAUGUACCGUACGAAUAAGGAUCGGCUAACUCCGUGCCAGCAGCUGC